ACGUACACCCCUGCGGGAGGCAGCAGUGGGGAAUAUUGGACAAUGGGCGCAAGCCUGAUCCAGCCAUGCCGCGUGAGUGAUGAAGGCCCUAGGGUUGUAAAGCUCUUUCACCGGUGAAGAUAAUGACGGUAACCGGAGAAGAAGCCCCGACUAACUUCGUGCCAGCAGCCGCGGUAAUACGAAGGGGGCUAGCGUUGUUCGGAUUUACUGGGCGUAAAGCGCACGUAGGCGGACUAUUAAGUCAGGGGUGAAAUCCCGGGGCUCAACCCCGGAACUGCCUUUGAUACUGGUAGUCUUGAGUUCGAGAGAGGUGAGUGGAAUUCCGAGUGUAGAGGUGAAAUUCGUAGAUAUUCGGAGGAACACCAGUGGCGAAGGCGGCUCACUGGCUCGAUACUGACGCUGAGGUGCGAAAGCGUGGGGAGCAAACAGGAUUAGAAACCCUAGUAGUCCCAUG
rnacentral:rRNA from 1 species